GGGUGCGAUCAUACCAGCAUUAAUGCACCGGAUUCCAUCAGAACUCCGCAGCUAAGCGUUCUUGGGCGAGAGUAGUACUACGAUGGGUGACCUCCUGGGAAGUCCUCGUGUUGCACCCC
rfam:Gossypium raimondii scaffold_879_contig_1, whole genome shotgun sequence.